GCAUUUUGGGCUGUGGGAAAACAGAAGAGAGGCUCCUCACUCAGUCAUGAUGUGUCCAGAAAGGAGUCCCAGAGAAAAUAACAUCUGAUCUGAGAAAAGAGAGAAACAAGGAGCAGAAGUUAGGGGUACUAACUGGAAGAAAGGAAUGCGAAUGAUUACCAAUCCUGCUGCAAGUGCUUAAAGAAGAUGGAAUCAGAGUGUGGGAACCAGGCUGAACUACAUGACUGACAGUAGAUGACCGCCACUGCCACGGGAUCCACAGGGUCCACAAAGGAACCCAGAAAUUUUUGAAGGCAGGAUAGGUACCAGCGCAGCCUGGGAGGAGCGCGCCCCCUUUCGGCGAAAGAAGGCAAGGAGGAAAGCGUCUGGCGAGGCUCGCCGCUAAUUUACCCGGCGGAAAGCAGCGCCUGGCGUCGCUACAGCAGAGAGGAGAACUGCGAAGAUGGGGUGGGGGUGUUUGUUUCUUUGCCGAGGCAGAGACCACACCACUAUAACCAAAAAUACUGUGGGCUCUGUUUUCAACGUUAAAAUUCUUCAUUCAGUUAAUUACUCUUCCACCCAUUCCACAACCUCAAGCCCCAGUAAAGUGGGGAGCCUGAAGGUGACAUCUUGUUGGUUUGGAGAUGAUUUAUUCGCUCGUGUUGUAAAAUCUAAAAUGACACUCCUGGGAAGAGGAAGGAACUAUAAGGACCCGUGUGACCCAUUGCUGUCUGCCUGAAGCCCUGGCGCUCUGACCUGAGUGCACCGGGGUUAGGUGUCUCAGCCAAAAUGCAGGACUGCACGACGUCUAACACAUGGGAGAGAUGCUCUGAAACAUGGGGGUGGGUAUUCACUGCAUUCCAGAGUUGGGGGAUCUGGAGACCCAGUGAGUCCUUCGGACUUCACAGGCCUGUCUCCCCACACUUCAAAUUCCAAAUCGUCCUUCACCCAAAAGUGGGUAGGAGUCACUGGACUAUCAAUUUCCCCAAAAUUCUAAGAGAAGGAGGUAACCCGGGCCCCUACUUCUGCAUGUAAAAUAAACCGAAAUCACCACCUCUUGGCUGGCCUUGACAUUCAGCUCUGGGGACUCAGUGAGGCACUUAAUCCUGUAUUUCACCUCCUCUAAAGAGAAAAGUUUCCAAGCUACCCUUAAAGCUUUAUAUUUCAUUGGCUCCCCUCUUCAACGAGAUAAUUGAAGCUCAAAUUUAGACUGCCAGUGGGCCCCAGAGUCCCAGGAUGGUGCUGCAUAAGAAAAUUUCUGGCGCCAGGGUUGUUGCA
rnacentral:lncRNA from 1 species